GGCGGUUUGAUAAGUNUGAAGUUAAAGGCUGUGGCUCANCCAUAGUUCGCUUUGGAAACUGUCAAACUUGAGUGCAGAAGGGGAGAGUGGAAUUCCAUGUGUAGCGGUGAAAUGCGUAGAUAUAUGGAGGAACACCGGUGGCGAAAGCGGCUCUCUGGUCUGUAACUGACGCUGAGGCUCGAAAGCGUGGGGAGCGAACAGGAUUAGAUACCCUGGUAGUNCACGCCGUAAACGAUGAGUGCUAGGUGUUGGGUCCUUUCCGGGAUUCAGUGCCGCAGCUAACGCAUUAAGCACUCCGCCUGGGGAGUACGACCGCAAGGUUGAAACUCAAAGGAAUUGACGGGGGCCCGCACAAGCGGUGGAGCAUGUGGUUAAAUUCGAAGCAACGCGAAGAACCUUACCAGGUCUUGACAUCCCGAUGCUAUUUCUAGAGAUAGGGAGUUACUUCGGUACAUCGGUGACAGGUGGUGCAUGGUUGUCGUCAGCUCGUGUCGUGAGAUGUUGGGUUAAGUCCCGCAACGAGCGCAACCCCUAUUGUUAGUUGCCAUCAUUCAGUUGGGCACUCUAGCGAGACUGCCGGUAAUAAACCGGAGGAAGGUGGGGAUGACGUCAAAUCAUCAUGCCCCUUAUGACCUGGGCUACACACGUGCUACAAUGGUUGGUACAACGAGUUGCGAGUCGGUGACGGCGAGCUAAUCUCUUAAAGCCAAUCUCUGUUCGGAUUGUAGGCUGCAACUCGCCUACAUGAAGUCGGAAUCGCUAGUAAUCGCGGAUCAGCACGCCGCGGUGAAUACGUUCCCGGGCCUUGUACACACCGCCCGUCACACCACGAGAGUUUGUAACACCCGAAGUC
rnacentral:rRNA from 1 species